AGUUGUUGCAGUUAAAAAGCUCGUAGUUGGAUUUUGGGGCGAAGUAGAAGGGGUGUUGAGGUGGGUAGGUGGUCCGAAAGGGUUGUCUAUUCAUUUUGGCAUUCAGGCUGCUUCCUUUGGGUAAAGAUCCGGUCUGCCGAGAUGGUGUGUACUGGUCUUUCCGCCCUUCCUUCUGGUUUUUGCUACCUUCUGCUCUUAACUGAGCGGGAGAAUAGCUCCAGAUCGUUUACUUUGAAAAAAUUAGAGUGUUCAAAGCAGGUACCAAAAACUUUACGCCUUGAAUACAUUAGCAUGGGAUAAUAGAAUAGGACAUCGCUUCUACUUUUCGUUGGUUUAUAGAAGCGGCGUAAUGAUUAAUAGAGAUAGUUGGGGGUAUUCAUAUUUAAUUGUCAGAGGUGAAAUUCUUGGAUUUAUGAAAGAUGAACUCCUGCGAAAGCAUUUAUCAAGGAUGUUUUCAUUAAUCAAGAACGAAAGUUAGGGGAUCGAAGACGAUCAGAUACCGUCGUAGUCUUAACCAUAAACUUUGCCGACCAGAGAUCAGGAGACGUUACAUGGAUGACUCCCCUGGCAUCUUGCGAGAAAUCACAAGUCUUUGGGUUCUGGGGGGAGUAUGGUCGCAAGGCUGAAACUUAAAGGAAUUGACGGAAGGGCACCACCAGGAGUGGAGCCUGCGGCUUAAUUUGACUCAACACGGGGAAACUUACCAGGUCCAGACAUAGUAAGGAUUGACAGAUUGAGAGCUCUUUCUUGAUUCUAUGGGUGGUGGUGCAUGGGCCGUUCUUAGUUGGUGGAGUGAUUUGUCUGGUUAAUUCCGUUAACGAACGAGACCUCAGCCUGCUAAAUAGUUACGUGAAUUGUCUAAAUUAUGGGGUGAAGGGAGUGUUCAAUGGAAGGGGUGAUAGGUGGCUUCUGGCUAUCUGUUGUCUUUUCCCCACUCUUGGAUCCUUGAUUAAUUCACGGAUAUACUUCUUAGAGGGACUAUUCGAUG
rnacentral:rRNA from 1 species